rnacentral:rRNA from 1 species
CCCUUAGAUGUCUUGGGCCGCACGCGUGCUACACUGACGCCUACAGCGAGUACUUCCCAGCCCCGAGAGGUGGCUGGUAAUCAGCAAUAGGCGUCGUGAUGGGGAUAGAUCUUUGGAAUUAUGGAUCUUGAACGAGGAAUGCCUAGUAAGCGCAGGUCAUUAGCCUGCGUUGAUUAAGUCCCUGCCCUUUGUACACACCGCCCGUCGCUCCUACCGAUUUCGAGUGGUCCGGUGAAUCUUUCGGACUGCGCGCGGCUUCGUGCCGUGUCGCGGAAAGUCAGGUAAACCUUAUCACUUAGAGGAAGGAGAAGUCGUAACA